CCAGCCUCCGAGGGAGUGACUGGCAACAGAUAACCUCCAUUCAGUGACAUGCAGACCAGCCUCCGAGGGAGUGACUGGCAGCAGAUAACCCCCAUUCAGUGACAUGCAGACCAGCCUCCGAGGGAGUGACUGGCAGUAGCAUGCGUGUGGUCUCCUCUGUGGGUAACAUGGCCCCAAAGAAGAGACGGCCAGCAGGAAACUGCAGAGGGAGUCAGUGUCCUGUUCAGGUCUGGAAUGGCUUCAGAGAGCAUGGACAGCUACAGAGAGUAUGUGUGGAUGGAGCAAUGCACGGUGUCACUUUUUGAUCCAUACAGAGGACAUUAAGGGACACUGACUGAACAAUACACAGAUUGUCUCUUUUCCUCCCUUAAUUCUAAAUAUCCAUCGAUGUGCUCAUGAAAUCUGCAAUUCAUUGCAGACACAGUACGAAGAAGCCCACUCGAGGGGUGAUGUUCCCCCCCAGCCAAGCAGUACCUUCCUCAAGCCGCCACCUUUUCUGCUCUGGCCUCCACCCAGCACCCAGCUCCUGCAGUGUUCCUUGGCCAAGAGGGACUGCGCCAGCCCAAGAGAAGCAGCAGACGGGCCCCUCAAGCUUCGAGCAGGAAAGGAGAGCCUCCAGAGGAUGUGGCUAAGAAGGUGCUGACACUGUCAAGCUCUACAGAUGUCUGCGACCCCUGCUCCCUUGGACACCCCCAGUGGAAAGAAUGGGAAGAAUAGGUGCAGGAACACUACCGUUUCACCCGGAGACAAAUGAGAACACAUUUGUGGCACAACACCCUGAAUACUUCUGUGACAUUGCUAUGACAGGGACAGUCUUUCACAGAACCACGGACAGCUAUUGGAAUGAGUAAGCAGAGAUGGACAUGCUCCACCAUCUCGCUCUUCCGUCAGUCACACUGGAGUUCUACCAGUCCCGAAUCUGUCUGUUCCCGUGAAAGAGCGCAGUCGGGCCGCACACUGCACUUAGUGGUCUCUUUAAUUUCCUCCACGUUGCCCCGAACACUUCUUCCGACUUUCCCUUAAUUGGGCACUUCGAAAAUCUCAGUCCAUGAAUUUUACAGAAGUUUGGCUUCCCCCACACCCAUGUAGACCCCAGCUUGCUGUGACAGUGGGAUGUUCUGCGCAUUGGGCUUCACUGGGUGGUACAAAGUUCAACUUACCCUCUUACUGGUGACAUUUACUUUGAUAAUUUAGCAUGGCAUUUGCUGCUCUUCCCACCGGACAUUUUUAUAUUCUUCCUGUGUGAGAAAAUACUUUGAGAAUAUAUAAACACCCUGGUUUGCAUCAAACAUUACAAAUAUAAUUCAUUCAUUCAUAUCAGCAGGCACACUGAUUCUAGUCCUUAAGUAGAGUAUAAUUUGUUGUUAUCAUAAUUUUCAUCAAAUUGUCCCAGACAAGGCCAGUGAGAGACCCUUGAAGUAGGCUAUGUGUCCCUCUGUCCUGCCUGUUGUUCUUGGAGCCUUGUCUGUCUCUCUGGUACAAGAUAAAUCAGGCCAUGGCCCAGUCCUAGCCCUGGCUUAAUGCCCAAGGUGCCUUGACUCCUGUUGAUGGGGGACUGGUCUUUACAAACAAGAUGAGGCUCACUUUGAGAAUGGCUUCUCAAAUCACUGAAGUGUGCUCAGCCCCUGAUGUGAAGGCCAGAGCUCCCCUGGGCUUCCUGAGUGGGUCCCGCCUGCAAAGAGGACCAUAGGUACCAAGGAGCAGUGUCUGGGACAGUCUGCACUGCAGGCAGAGUUGGGGCCUCACAGGCUGUGGUCGUUUGAAUGUCAUUGGCCCUCAUAAGCUCAUAAGGAGUGGCACUAUUAGGAGGUGUGGCCUUGUUGGAGGAAGUGUGUCACUAUGGGGGUUGGCUUUGAGCUCUUCUAUGCUCAAACUAUGAUCAGUGUAGAGAUAGUUCACUUCCUGUUGCCUGUGGAUCAAGAUGUAGGACUCUCAGCUUCUUCUCCAGCA